rnacentral:rRNA from 1 species
ACGCUGGCGGCGUGCCUAACACAUGCAAGUCGAACGAGAACGGGUUAAAGUUUACUUUAACUGUCAGCUAAGUGGCGCACGGGUGAGUAAUAUAUAGUUAAUCUGCCCCAAAGAAGAGAAUAAUUGUUGGAAACGACUUGUAACUCUCUAUAUGCCUUUAUCACAUAAGUGAGCAAGGGAAACAUUUAUGGCUUUGGGAUGAGACUGUACGGUAUCAGUUAGUUGGUAAGGUAAUGGCUUACCAAGACUAUGACGCCUAACUGGUUUGAGAGGAUGAUCAGUCACACUGGAACUGAGACACGGUCCAGACUCCUACGGGAGGCAGCAGUGGGGAAUAUUGCACAAUGGAGGAAACUCUGAUGCAGCAACGCCGCGUGGAGGAUGACACAUUUCGGUGCGUAAACUCCUUUUAUAUGAGAAGAUAAUGACGGUAUCAUAUGAAUAAGCACCGGCUAACUCCGUGCCAGCAGCCGCGGUAAUACGGGGGGUGCAAGCGUUACUCGGAAUCACUGGGCGUAAAGAGCAUGUAGGCGGAUAGAUAAGUUGGAAGUGAAAUCCUAUGGCUUAACCAUAGAACUGCUUCCAAAACUGUCUAUCUAGAAUAUGGGAGAGGUAGAUGGAAUUUCUGGUGUAGGGGUAAAAUCCGUAGAGAUCAGAAGGAAUACCGAUUGCGAAGGCGAUCUACUGGAACAUUAUUGACGCUCAGAUGCGAAAGCGUGGGGAGCAAACAGGAUUAGAUACCCUGGUAGUCCACGCCCUAAACGAUGCACACUAGUUGUUGCCUUGCUAGACAAGGCAGUAAUGCAGUUAACACAGUAAGUGUGCCGCCUGGGGAGUACG